rnacentral:rRNA from 1 species
UACGGAGGGUGCAAACGUUGCUCGGAAUCACUGGGCGUAAAGCGCACGUAGGCGGCCAAGUAAGUUGGGUGUGAAAGCCCUGGGCUCAACCCAGGAAGUGCAUCCAAAACUGCUUGGCUUGAGUACCGGAGGGGUUCAGAGAAUUCCUGGUGUAGAGGUGAAAUUCGUAGAUAUCAGGAGGAAUACCAGUGGCGAAGGCGCUGAACUGGACGGUCACUGACGCUGAGGUGCGAAAGCGUGGGUAGCAAACAGG